GACGUACGCUGGCGGCGUGCCUAAUACAUGCAAGUCGAGCGAAUCAUUAGGAGCUUGCUCCUGGUGGUUAGCGGCGGACGGGUGAGUAACACGUGGGCAACCUGCCUGUAAGACUGGGAUAACACCGGGAAACCGGUGCUAAUACCGGAUAAUCCUUUCCCUCUCAUGAGGGAAAGCUGAAAGUCGGUUUCGGCUGACACUUACAGAUGGGCCCGCGGCGCAUUAGCUAGUUGGUGAGGUAACGGCUCACCAAGGCGACGAUGCGUAGCCGACCUGAGAGGGUGAUCGGCCACACUGGGACUGAGACACGGCCCAGACUCCUACGGGAGGCAGCAGUAGGGAAUCUUCCACAAUGGACGAAAGUCCGAUGGAGCAACGCCGCGUGAGCGAUGAAGGCCUUCGGGUCGUAAAGCUCUGUUGUUAGGGAAGAACAAGUACCGGAGUCACUGCCGGUACCUUGACGGUACCUAACCAGAAAGCCACGGCUAACUACGUGCCAGCAGCCGCAGUAACAC
rnacentral:rRNA from 1 species